rnacentral:rRNA from 1 species
AGCAGCCGCGGUAAUUCCAGCUCCAAUAGCGUAUAUUAAAGUUGUUGCAGUUAAAAAGCUCGUAGUUGAAUUUCGGGAUCAAUAUGUCGGUCGUGCCUUCGGUACGUACUGGUAUCAUUGGUUUCUCCUUUCUGACGAACCAUGAUGUCAUUAAUUUGGUGUUAUGGGGAGUUAGGACUGUUACUUUGAAAAAAAUUAGAGUGUUUAAAGCAGGCUUUAGCUUGAAUACAUUAGCAUGGAAUAAUGAAAUAGGACGUUCGAACCUAUUUUGUUGGUUUCUAGGAUCAACGUAAUGAUUAAUAGGGAUAGUUGGGGGGCAUUAGUAUUCAAUUGUCAGAGGUGAAAUUCUUGGAUUUAUUGAAGACUAACUACUGCGAAAGCAUUUGCCAAGGAUGUUUUCAUUAAUCAAGAACGAAAGUUAGGGGAUCGAAGACGAUCAGAUACCGUCGUAGUCUUAACCAUAAACUAUGCCGACUAGGGAUCGGAUGAUGUUAAUUUUUUUAAUGACUCAUUCGGCGCC